GCUGGGCAUGGUGGCGAGUGCCUGUAGUCCCAGCUACUUGGGAGGCUGAGGUGGGAGGAUCACUUGAGCUUGGGAAGUCAAGGCUGCAGGGAGCUAUGAUUGCACCACUGCACUCCAGCCUGGGCGACAAAGUGAGACCCUGUCUCAA
ensembl:misc_RNA Metazoa_SRP Metazoan signal recognition particle RNA